CUCUCUCUCUCUCUCUCUCAUCUUCUCCAAUCUUCGAUUCUCAUCAUCUUUGAUCUUCGAUCGUGAAUCGAGUUCUGGAGUUGGAUCUGGUAGAGACAAUUCGAUUCGAUCUUCGAUCUUCUAAAGCUUUCGACACCUAAACCAUGGCUUCAAGUAGAAACAGUACAGUAGCGAACAAAGGUCCUCCGUCCUCUUCGUCAGGGAUAAAGAUGGAAGAUGCUACUUCAGUUAGCCAGUUCAUUGAACUUUUGGCCGCUUUCACAGAAGACAAUAGAAAACAAGGUACGGCUACGGACAGCGAGAUAAUGGCGUCUUUUCUCAUGUUGAGGUGUUUCAAAAAUCACUAUAAGAAACUGGAAUCUGUUGAAGAAUUGAAACCGUAUGGGAUGGAUUCAAAACUUGCUGAAACAAUGUAUGAAGGGUUGUUUUCCGUGAUGAAACCCACGGUGCGAAACGAAUAUAAAGCAUUACGCAAAAUUGCUGCUAAGGAAAGAUCACAACAACAGCGUAAGUUGGAAGAUGCUACUAGUGUUAGGGAAUUUCUCGAUCUGCUAGCAGCUCAGAGCCAGCAGAAUAAGGACAAUGUUUCAUGCCAACAAGUUUUCCUGGAAUGUGUCCAGAGGUACUCCACUUUCGAAGAAACACUUGACGAAUUGAGCAAGCUUAUGGAUCACACUCAAGCCUGUAUACUCAUUUACAGUGACAUGAUGAAAAUGAGAACCAACGUCAAAAAAGAAUACAGGAGAUUACGUUCAGAUGCUGCUCAAGUGUCUCCAGCUACCUCACAUUCUACAUCCUCAACGGUUGCUUCUGCUUCUGGGGAAACAAGUGCACGACGAUGUAAGUUGGAAGAUGCGCGUACGGCGAGAGACUUUAUUGGUAUCUUAGCAGGUCAAAUCCAACAGAGAAAGGAAUCCGCUGCACACCUGGAUCUUCUCCUUAAAUGCUUACAGGAUUACUCUAGUUCACAGGAAACCCUUAAAGAAUUGAGCCAGUAUAUGGAUCAUCGUCAAGCUACUAAACUAUAUGACGGUACUAUGAUGAAGAUGAAAAAAGAGGUGGGAGCAGAGUAUCAGAGUUUAUGUCAACUUAAAUGUGAUCGUGAAAGAAGUGUACAGCGGAAGCGUAAGUUGGAAGAUGCUUCUACUCUGGCAGAGUUCCUUGAGACAUUAGCACUCGACAACCAACUGAAAAGGGAAACAACUGCAUACGAGGAAUUCUUGCUGAAAUGCUUCCAGCAUUACUCAAAUUUGGAGAAAAUUGCUGAUGAACUGAAACAGGAGAAUCUGGAUGCAACUGAAGCUAAUAGCCUUUAUCAUCAAAUUCAGAGUAAAAUGAACAUAAAGGUGAGAGAAGAGUAUCAGAAAUUAGUUCUUGCAUCUGCACACAACGAAGACCUCCAGGAGAAUUCACAGAAUGAGAUAGUGCCUCCAUUGCUUCCUGAUAGUAAUUUGGAAGAUGCUGAAAGUGCUCUGCAGUUCCUUCAAAUACUAAAAUUUCAAGUCCAACAGAACAAGGAACAAACAGCAAUCCAGGAAGUCUUGCUGAAACACUUCCAGGGUUACUCAACUUUGGAGGAAAUUACUCAAGAAUUGCAAACGUGUUACAAUAUGGAUGAAAUUGAAGCUACCACACUCUAUCAAAGGAUUGUGGAGAAAAUGAAAAGCGAGGUGAAAGAAGAUUACCAGAAGUUAUGUUCAGCUCGGGCUCUACAUCUUGAACAGGAGAACCAUCAAGUGCCUCCAAUGUUUACUGCUGUUGCUUCUGCAUCCUCAAAUGACCAGACUGGGAGCUUAAGUCAACCCAGGGAUUCAAUUCAUCAGAUAUUAGAAACGAUAAGUGAAACAAUGAAACAGCUGGUGGUGGAUUCUAAGAACAAGGAUGACAAAGCUCAAAAGACUAUUCAGCAGAUGAUGAAGAAUUUCACCAAUUCAGAGCACAAACUUCUGACAGAAACAAUAAACAAGAUGGUUGAUUCUAACAAAAAGCUAGAUGAAAAGGUACAAACCACUAUGCAUCAGAUGAUGGAGAAUUCCAACAAACUGACAGAAAAAGUGAACAAGCUGGAUGAGAAAAUGCAAAAAACAGUGCAACAGAUGAGAGAGCUUUACAAUAGUUCUCAGAAGAAUAUGCAGACUUCUCUGACAGAAUUUCUUAACACAGAGUUUGAUCCGAAGUUUAGGAAAACUAUAAAUGAGAGGUUUGCUGCUAUUGGUCCUGCGAUAGGGAAAAAAGCCUUUAGUGAUGUGGGGAAAGCAGUAAGUCAGCAGCUGGAUGAGCAAAAGCAAAAAACAGUGCAACAGAUGAGAGAGCUUUACAAUAGUUCUCAGAAGAAUCUGCAGACUUCUCUGACAGAAUUUCUUAACACAGAGUUUGAUCCGAAGUUUAGGAAAGCUAUAAAUGAGAGGUUUGCUGCUCUUGGUCCUGCGAUGGGGAAAAAAGCCUUUAGUGAUGUGGGGAAAGCAGUAAGUCAGCUUGAAGAAUCUUUUUCCUCAAAGAUUAAGGAAAGCAACAAAAGCAUCUCUGAACAGUUGUCCCAGCUUGAAUCUGCCUUGUCAGCUGCUCAAAGCUUAACCCAUGAAUUAGCUGAUAGCCAAAAGGAUCGUCCGUCAAAGAUUUUAACUUCUGUUCAGAAUUUACAAGAUCUAUCACAGUGGAUUUCAGAGGGAAAGUACGAAGAAUCUUUCAGUUGGGCUCUAGAUUGCAAUGAUGCCUCUACAGUAUCAUGACUCUGCUCUCAGGUUAAUAUGGAUAACCUACCACUAAGUCAAAGGGUUUGUUGUAGGUUGUUACGGGAGCUUACCACUAAUUUGAAGAAAAACACUUCCGACAAACUUAAAUGGAUAGGACAUAUCAUCUCUUCUAUCAAAGCAGGUGUCACAACUACUCAGGAAGUUAGUCAGUGUUUUAAUUUAGUGAACCAGCGUCUUCAUCAGUAUAUUAGAGAAAUUAACUUUGACAAAUUUGACGCUGUGGGUCUUCUACCAUCUCUGGCUCUGUGAAGGAGGAAGAAGAGCAAGAAGAAGCGUAAUCAGAAAUAAAGUGGAGAGUGUUCGCAGGAGGAGGAAGCAGAAGGUGAUUAGAAGAAGAAACGUGACUUUGGUCACUUUAGACUCUUUGAAUACUUGAAAAUUUGACUCUUCUUUCCAUUUCCUAUUUGACUCUUUCCCUUAGACUCUUCUUUCCAUUUCCUACUUCAA